rnacentral:rRNA from 1 species
UACGGGGGGGGCAAGCGUUGUUCGGAAUUACUGGGCGUAAAGGGCUCGUAGGCGGCCAACUAAGUCAUACGUGAAAUCCCUCGGCUUAACCGGGGGAACUGCGUCUGAUACUGGAUGGCUUGAGAUUGGGAGAGGGAUGCGGAAUUCCAGGUGUAGCGGUGAAAUGCGUAGAUAUCUGGAGGAACACCGGUGGCGAAGGCGGCAUCCUGGACCAACACUGGACGCUGAGGAGCGAAAAGCCAGGGG